AACGAACGCUGGCGGCAGGCUUAACACAUGCAAGUCGAGGGGUAGAAGUUGCUUGCAACUUUGAGACCGGCGCACGGGUGCGUAACGCGUAUGCAACCUACCUUUUACAGAGGGAUAGCCCAGAGAAAUUUGGAUUAAUACCUCAUAGUAUAUAACCUUCGCAUGUUGGUUAUAUUAAAGUUCCAACGGUAAAAGAUGGGCAUGCGUCCUAUUAGCUAGUUGGUGUGGUAACGGCACACCAAGGCGACGAUAGGUAGGGGUCCUGAGAGGGAGAUCCCCCACACUGGUACUGAGACACGGACCAGACUCCUACGGGAGGCAGCAGUGAGGAAUAUUGGACAAUGGGCGCAAGCCUGAUCCAGCCAUGCCGCGGGCAGGAAGAAGCAUCUAUGGUGUGUAAACUGCUUUUAUACAGGAAGAAACGACCCUUGCGAGGGGCAUUGACGGUACUGUAUGAAUAAGCACCGGCUAACUCCGUGCCAGCAGCCGCGGUAACAC
rnacentral:rRNA from 1 species